GAUAUUAUAUUAUAAAGUUGAUAUGUUUCUUUAUAAAGUUGAUCAAAUUUACAAAGUUUGACUUCAGAUAAAUUUUAUACAGGGUCUAAAAGGAAACAGAGUGACUGCCUAGCUUGCUUAGGGUUGGUAUACCUGCUCAGCUCAGCUCAUUUUGUUCUUGUCCGCCCUGUUCAAUUAAUUAAUAAGUACAGUGCUCCACAACAGAAAUCUUCUGAAUUGAUAUAUACUGCUCCGUACUAUUGUUCGCUUAGCCAUGUUAACGUUAGACCAAAGCCUCACCAUCACCCUCCUUUUUUCUUUCAUAUCUUUCCGCUCCACCCUGGGGAUGGGACCGGCGGCGAGCCGGAGUUGCAGUUGAGUAUUUGACUGUCGCCCUUCGGUCUCUUCCUCCGUUCCCGUCAUCAUCAUCACGCCCCUUCCCGGAAUCUUCCAUGGUUUCAUCCUUUAAAGGAAGCACCAUCUGCAGAGCUUCACAGUGGAGUAAAUUUCACUUCUUUAGUCAUAUACUACUAGUACAAGUGUACAGCUGCACAACACAGCCUAGCAGAGCAGAGAGCAAUGGCCGCCACGCCGGAGGAGUUCCUGGGGCAGCAGGGUUUCCUUGCGCGGCUGGAGCCGCCCUCGCCGUCCCUGUUCCUCGGCCUGCCGCCGACGCCCCGCGGCGAGGAGGACGGGGACUCCUCGUUUGACGACAUGGCACUGCCCUACAUCUCGCGCCUGCUGGAGGAGGACAUGGAGGACCACUUCUUCUACCUGUACCCCAACCACCCCGCGCUCCUCCGGGCGCAGCUGCCCUUUGCGCAGAUCCUCGUCGACGUCGCCGACAGCGCCAGCGGCUCCACCUCCGCGCUCUCGCCGUCCUCCUCCACCUCCACCUUCGACGCCACUGCCUCCACAACCCCCAGCGCUACAUCGCCCUACGACGCAGCGAUCCAGAUCUCACGCCCGCCCUACGCCCAAGUACUGGGCCUUGCCUCAGGUUCACCGGACACCCAGAGCUCGGCGCUCCUCAGCUGCGACGAGGAAGCCCAAAACCCUAGCUCUGACUUCGUCAUUGGGAAUUAUUUGUUGCCCGGCGACCAGGACAUGCUCAACUUGGCCUUCCUCAAAGGCAUGGAGGAGGCGAGCAAGUUCUUGCCGCCCAACAGCAGCCUCCCGGCCAUGAAGGUGGAUCAAGUGGUGGGCGGAGCGCUCGCUGGAGCCGGCCUCAAGAAAAAGAGGGACACUCUAGAUCCAGACAUGGGCAGGGCCAGCAAAUUGAUGAUGCCGGAGCAGGAAGAGGAUGGCGCACGAGAGCUGUUCGACGAAAUGAUGUUCCAGGAACACGAGAUAUGCAUGAAGGGGGUUCAGCAGCUUCGCAUCCCCGUGGACAGCGAACCCGGGAAGAACAGACGGAAGAAGGGACGGCCAAGACGGGACUCGAGUGACAGUGAGAUGGUGGACCUGCACACGCUGCUGCUGAACUGCGCCCAGGCGCUGUCCACAGAUAACCGCCGGACCGCAAGUGAGCUGCUGAAAAGAAUCAGGCAGCAUUCGACCCCAAAGGGUGAUGCGGCGCAAAGACUGGCGCAUUAUUUUGCCGAGGCGCUGGAUGCACGGCUGGCGGGUAGGGGGAGCGAGCUGUACCAGUCGCUCAUGGCAAGGCGUACCUCGGUUGCAGACUUUCUCAAGGCCAACCAGCUUUACAUGGCAGCUUGCUGCUGCAAAAAGGUGGCGUUCAUCUUUGCCAACAAGACCAUCUGCAAUGCUGUGGUAGGGAAGAGCCGAUUGCACAUUGUGGACUAUGGUCUGAGUCAAGGACUGCAGUGGCCGGGCCUGUUACGUAUGCUUGCAGCUAGAGAAGGUGGACCACCAGAGGUGAAGAUCACCGGCAUUGACCUCCCUCAACCUGGGUUCCAUGGAGCCUACCAUAUUGAGGAGACAGGGCGCAGGCUCAGCAACUUCGCCCGCGUGUUCGGUGUGCCGUUUAAGUUCCAUGGUAUUGCAGCAAAGCGGGAGACAGUCCAGCCAGAGGACCUGAACAUCGACCGUGAUGAGGUGCUUGUGGUGAUUAGUCUUUGCCAUUUCAGGCUUUUGAUGGACGAAAACCUCGGCUUUGAUACUCCGAGCCCCAGGGAUCAGGUCCUCAACAACAUCAGGAAGAUGCGCCCAGACGUGUUCAUCCAUGGCAUUAUGAAUGGCUCGUAUGGUGCUACAUACUUCCUGACACGGUUCAGGGAGGCACUGUUCAAUUACUCGGCCCAAUUUGACCUGCUGGAUGCGACAGUCCCCCGGGAUAAUGAAGGGCGUCUGCUGCUUGAGCGCGACAUCUUCGGGCGGUCUGCCCUGAAUGUCAUUGCAUGUGAGGGCGCAGACCGGGUGGAGCGCCCUGAGACAUACAAGCAGUGGCAGCUCCGGAACCACCGGGCAGGGCUGAGGCAGCUGCCAUUGAAUCCAGAUGUUGUUAGGCUUGUGCUGGACAAGGUUAAGGACAACUACCACAAGGACUUCGUCGUUGAUGAGGAUCAGCGGUGGUUGCUGCACAGGUGGAAGGGGCGUGUGCUCUAUGCCCUGUCAACAUGGGUUGCCGACAAUGCAACCUAGCUUCUUUUCUCAAUCAUACUUAGAUUAUUGACAUCAAUAAAUAUAUCAAUGUUUAUAUUGGUCCCAUGGUUUGCAUUCUAUUAUGUACUUUACAUGGCCAGAGAAAACCCGAGUAGCAAGGAAUACUGAGCCUGAAAGAGGUUACUGAUUUGGUCAAGUAUGCAGAUCGUGGCAGGGAUAUAGGACUACAGAUUAAGCAUGAGUAAGUCUAUUACAAACUAUAGCAUUUUCAAGAUUUUAACUAGGUAUAUUUUGGCCUCUCCCAGUAUAUUAUUUACUCUUUUGACAUAUCAGCAUAAUUCCUAAGCUCCCACUUAAAUAAUUAUGUUCACGCACUACUUUUUUUCCUUUAAGAUUCAUGUGCAACAAAGUAGUAGAUGUAACUAUGUAUUCGUGUAACCGAGAUACAGUUUGAAUUGUAGUUAAGGACUCGGGACUUGUGGGUUGUAUGUGUCAUGUAUGCCGCGCUUUCAUUUUGCCAAACAUCAGAAGCAGAGUAAAACACGUCAUGCUUAGUGCAAUGUUUUGGCAUCUGAGCUCACCUAUACCCUCUAAAAAAGUCUGUUCGCAAACUUACAAAGUUUCUCAAAAAUGGAACACAGGUACAUAUUUGAGUAUUAAGUUCAUUUUUAAAAUUAAUUCUGUGCAAAAAAGCUACUAUGUUAGCCUUCAUCGUUUUAUUAUUUUUGCACUGCACAAAGAUUUGCAAAUGCAAAUAGUACUCGAACAUGUACAUGUGUGAUUUUCUUCUUGUGUUUUUAAAAUAUCAAUUUGUUUUCGACGUAAUUCUCUUGUACAAGGAAAUGGAACAAGGAGGUCACAUCACACCUAGAUGAUUAGGAAAGCAACUGCUUUCUUGUUCUUUCUGGUUGGAGACAGUUCGGUGAUUCCAAGGAGACAAGCUUAGCAGAGCAACAUUACACCUACCAUGAUUCCCUUCCAUUCAUUCCAGGAAGAGCUUUGCCAUUACCAUUGUCAUUGCCAUCACCAAGGCUGCCACUCCCGUCUCCCGGUGUUCCCAGACCUUCCCUUGAUGGCCGAUGAUGACAGCAACUGCUUUGCUGUGCAGGAUCACCUGGCACUCCCCUAUAUCACACAAAUCCUCAUGGAGGAGGAGGAUGACGUUGACGAAGACAACCCUGCACUCCUCAAAGCCCAGCGACCCUUUGCCCAAAUCCUCUCUUCCAGCAUGCAUGCCUCCACCU